AGUCUACGGGAGGCAGCAGUGGGGAAUCUUCCACAAUGGGCGAAAGCCUGAUGGAGCAACGCCGCGUGAGUGAAGAAGGUCUUCGGAUCGUAAAGCUCUGUUGCCCGGGACGAAAACCGAGUUUGAGAAUAUUGAACUUGGGUGACGGUACCGAGCGAGGAAGCCACGGCUAACUACGUGCCAGCAGCCGCGGUAAUGACU
rnacentral:rRNA from 1 species